UACGUAGGGUCCGAGCGUUGUCCGGAAUUAUUGGGCGUAAAGGGCUCGUAGGCGGUCCGUCACGUCGGGAGUGAAAACUCAGGGCUCAACCCUGAGCGUGCUUCCGAUACGGGCAGACUAGAGGUAUGCAGGGGAGAACGGAAUUCCUGGUGUAGCGGUGAAAUGCGCAGAUAUCGGGAGGAACACCGGUGGCGAAGGCGGUUCUCUGGGCCUGUUCUGGACGCUGAGGAGCGAAAGCGUGGGGAGCAAACAGGG
rnacentral:rRNA from 1 species